CAAUAGCGUAUAUUUAAGUUGCUGCAGUUAAAAAGCUCGUAGUUGGAUUUCGGGUGGGAAUGGCCGGUCCGCCGUUUCGGUGUGCACUUGCUACGCCCACCUUGCUGCCGGGGACGUGCUCUUGAGUUCACGCUCGGGACACGGAGUCGGCGAGGUUACUUUGAGUAAAUUAGAGUGUUCAAAGCAGGCCUACGCUCUGAAUACAUUAGCAUGCAAUAACACGAUAGGACUCUGGCCUAUCUUGUUGGUCUGUAGGACCGGAGUAAUGAUUAAGAGGGACAGUCGGGGGCAUUCGUAUUUCAUUGUCAGAGGUGAAAUUCUUGGAUUUAUGAAAGACGAGCUACUGCGAAAGCAUUUGCCAAGGAUGUUUUCAUUAA
rnacentral:rRNA from 1 species